AGAUAGUGUUUACAUUAAUUUUCUUGAUUCAUUCAUUCAUCUAAUCUCCAAACAUUUACACGGUCCAUACUAAGUGCCUGUCGUUGUAAAUACAAAGAGAGCUACCCACUAGAAACUUGAGUUUAGUAGGGGGAGAUUUACACAUAAAUAGGUAAAUGCAAUCAACUGAUAGAUGUAUGAGCAGGAAAGAGUGGAUACACAGUGACUGGGGGAAGAAGAGGUUUCAGGAAAAGCUUCAGAGAAUAGAUGAUAAUUAGGUUGAGUUAUGUAAAAAAGAGGAUCACCAGUUUGAGCAGACAGAUAUGGAAACUUAAUCAUGGACAGGUGCAAGGGACAGUGAGACAGACUCAAGGAAUAAUACUGUCAGAAAAUGAAGGAAACAUUGCAGAGUUUCAAGGGGAGGAAUAACACCUUGAGAAGUUGAAUAAUUUAUCCAAAUUUGGCUUAAGAUUUCCCAGAAUUGAUAAAAGCCACACAUUAUAGCACUGAGCAAGACAAGAAAAAAUCGAUAUCCUGACCCACAUCAUAGUGAAACUGCAGAGCAUCAAAGACAAGAGACAAUCCUAAAAGCAGGCAUAAGUAAAAGAUACAUUGCCUCAGAGAAACUGUUGGGCCAGCUGCAGUCUGUUAAUUAACUGAAGCCAGAAGACAAUGGAAUAAUGUCCUCAAAGGAGUGGGGGGGAAAUAACUGUCAUCUAGAAUUUUGUACCCAGCAAGACUACUACAGGCAUUUUCAACUAUGUAAGAAAUGAAUUUCCCAACUGCAAGCCCUGCAGAAAAAGCUACCAACGUUCAUACUUCUGGAAGAAGAAAACUGAACUUAGAAGAAGCGAAAUGCAUGAAAGAAUGCUACGUGUAAAAACUGGAAUGCUCCUGAAGUUGGUUAACUGAAGAGAUACACAGAUCUACUUCUCAAAGGUCUACUGAUCUCAGAAAUACACUUGGAGACACUUCAUUCAGCUUCAGUGUUCUUAGCAAAGACUUACUUUUGUGGUAUAAAAUAUAGAGCCGUGCUCCAAUUAUAUUCUUAUUUUUCCGUUAACCUAACUGAUGAUGGUUUUUAAGAGCCUUGAAGGUUAGAGAUACUGACUUAAAAGUAAUUCAGCAAAACUGACAUCUGAUGUAAAACUUGAAGUUAAAAGAGAUCGGGCAUGUGUUGACCAAUCUCCUUCAACCACAUGUUUUAGCAGCUCCCUGGGAGGACAGUGGUUUUUCAGCCCAUUCAUGUGCUUGAGGAUGAAAAAUAUGUGCUGGUAUAGGCUGAAUAAAUGGGUGUAUACUAAGUCAUUAUGCUCAAAGAAAGUAAAUGACAUCCAAUUAUCAUAAA